rnacentral:rRNA from 1 species
UACAGAGGGUGCGAGCGUUAAUCGGAAUUACUGGGCGUAAAGCGCACGUAGGUGGCGACGUAAGUCGGGUGUGAAAGCCCCGGGCUCAACCUGGGAAUUGCAUUCGAGACUGCAUUGCUGGAGUACGGAAGAGGAAGGCGGAAUUCCCGGUGUAGCGGUGAAAUUCGUAGAUAUCGGGAGGAACACCAGUGGCGAAGGCGGCGACCUGGGCAGAUACUGACGCUGAGGUGCGAAAGCGUGGGGAGCAAACAGG